rnacentral:lncRNA from 13 species
CCACUGGACUUCAUUGUCACCUCAGAGAACUCUACCAGCUGCCUGCCUGGGCCACCGAGACUGCCCCCUUCCCCAACACUGACUCUGGGGCCCCUUCAGCAGAGAGGGGCUGCCCCUCUGUUCACUUACCACUUCGUGCCUGGCCACAGCAGGUGUGACAGUAAUGCAGAGAAUCUAACUUACUUUGCAUGUCAUCAAACCCAAAUCCAACAGGGGCACCCAAACCAGACUGGGCCUGCCAACCUCCACCCACAGGAACACACUGGUGACUUAGUGCCGUGGACCCAGGAGGUGACUCCUCCCCCCAGCGGCCUUUGUCCCCAAGUCCUCGGACAUCCCUUAGCCCAGGGUGAAGGGUCAAGGGCACACCUGACCCUUGGACAGGGCCAGAGGGAGUGGGUUUGGCCAGGAAGUCAGCAGGAACUAGCGUCCCACACAGGAAGGAGGGCAGUGAUAGCAGACCCCGUCCUGGCUGUCUGUCCAUCCAUCCGCCCACUCACUCCAGGUCGCCCAGCUGCACCCAGCCCCUUUGCUCCGACAUCGAAAGUCUCCAAGUCAUGCCGGUUCUCUCCUCCCAAAGAUCUGCUUGGAUCUGUUCCCUUCUCCCAUCCUUGCUGCCACGAAGCUGUUCAAAGUCCGAAGCUGAGCGCACCGUCAAUCCCUCCACAAACAAUCACCGGGCAACGACUGCCCGCCAGGCGCAGCAGUGAACACAACCUGCCCUCUCCGUCUGGGGCGCCAGUGCGGAGCCUCCCGCCUGUGUCUGGGCCUGCGCCCCUACGGCGUCACCCUCUCCCAUGUCCCAGCCAGAGGCGCCGCCACCUCUGGGCUCUCCCUGCCGGGACCCCGCACCCGCAGCUGAAUGAAGCCUCGGCGCUGCGCCGUUCACACGCUCCGUGCUGCCGCCGCGAAGCUCGCGCGGAACCUUCCCCGCUUCCAGAGAACCUCGGCCCCUGCUGUUACCCCGUCACACGCACCGUUCCUCUCGGGUCUCCGCGGCAGGGCCACCACCCCCAGACGCCCCCCUGUGCACCCCAUCUCCUACCCUCAAACUCGUCGCUCCUCCUGCCCACACUGCCCAGCUGCCGCGCCCACCCGGCGGAGCUCCACCUGCGUGGAGGCCGCGUCCACGCGGGCACCCCAAACGCCACCGGUAGGUCUGGAGCACGCGAACGCACGCCCGGCCCCGGCCCAUCUCUCCGAGCUGCCUCCACCCUGCGGGUCCCCACGUCGCGCCAAGCAAAGCCGCAGAGCCCGCGCGCCUUUCUUGUACGACUACCCCGCCGCCGCCGCCGCGCGGCCGGGCCCGGGGCCCAGCGUCCGGUGUCGGGGGCCGGAGGAGGCCUAGGCGGGCCCAGAGCACCCGCGCAAGGAAAGGGACUGGGCACGGCCGCGUUAACCCCCUCCGCGCCAGACGACGAGCCUCGGUCAUCGAGCGGCCCUACCAGCCUCAGCAGGCUACCCCUGUGCCCGCUCCAGCAAGCGUGCAACCGGCCCGGCCAGUCACAGACUCCUCCGGCCGGGACACACCGCCGGCGGGGAGACACCGCGAGCGCUCCAACGCGGCUCACACACGCCGCCUUGACUCUCUGA